GGCCGACUGGCGAAAUGGCAUCGCGUCUGACUACGAUCGCUCGUGAUCCAUAACAGCUAAUCAGGAGAUUGCAGGUUCGACCCCUGCGUCGGUCA